GGGUCCUGCACCCCCACUUUGCAGUCAGACGUGACUCUCAGCCAGCCAGUAACACAGAGGUUUAUUCGAUGACAGGAACAGGGUCUAACACAGAGCUUGUAGGUACCGCGAACCGGACCCCUCGGCCGGGUCCAUUCUGGGGGGCAGUGAGCCAGACCCCCACGUCUGCCCUCACUUCCCGUCCCCAGCCAGCUCCAGACUGAAACCCCCUCCAGCCCCUCCUCUCUGGCCUUUGUCUCUUUCCUGGGCCAGGAGGUCACCUGAUCUCUUUGUUCUCCCACACCUUCAGCUAUUCCCUUGCAGGGGGAAGGGCCCUGGCCCUUUGUUGCCAGGAUACAGAGUGUCGGCCAUUUAUGCACGUUGGAGACUUAAGAAAUGCAUAGGGGAAACUGAGGCACCCACACAGUAUUCAGAGAAAACAUUAAGAAUAGUCCCACUUUGUCACAGGUGCGUGUGAUGGGAUGGAGGCGUCGGCGUGCAGGACGGGGUACUGUUGGUGAAGAUGAUAUGGCACAAGUGAGGAGUUUUGCUGUUGGUCUGAGUGCACAAUGAGAGGGUAGAUGACCGGAUGAUACAGUGCGGGUGAGAUGGGGGGGUGCAUGGUGCAGUGGAGGUGAUAUGGAGUGAGUGUGAUGGCGUGUGGGUGAUUGAGUGUCAGGGAUAUGGUAGAAGUAAAAGGGUGCGAGUGAUAGCUGCAUAUGAUGGGGCACAGUGGCAGGACGCAGUGCAGGUGACAUGGUACAGGUGUUAGGGUGUUGGUGAUAUGUGUGUGCAUGUGAUGGGAUGGAGUCAGAGAGUAGCGAUAGGGUGUGUGACAGGGUGUUGGUGACAUGGUGUAGGAAAUAGGGUGCGGCUGACAGUGUGUGAGAAGCUGUAUAGCUAACACAGUGUAGGUGAGGGUGCAGGUGAGGGUGUGUGUGUGACAGGGUUUAGUUGAUUUUUUGUAGGUAAUAGUGGGAGGGUCAUGUUGUAUAGGUGACGCUAUGUAGGCAAUAAGGUGUGGGUGACAAUGUGUGUGAGUGAUGCAGUCUAAGUGACAGUGUGUGUGAUGUACUGUAGGUGACAGGGUGGGUGCGUGACAGUGUAGGUGAUGCAGUGUAGGUGACGGGAUGUAGUUAAUCAGGUGUGGGUGAUGCAGUGUAGGCAACAGACUAUGGGUGACAGUGUGGCUGUGUGACAUGUUGCGGGUGAUGGUUUAUGUGUGAGUGAUGAGGUGUGAUGAGAUGCAGGUGAUGGGGUGUGCGGGUGACGGAAUGAGUGCAGGUGUUGAGUGUGAGAGUGCAGGUGAUGGGAUGUGCGAAGGUGCAGCAGGUGUGAGGGUGAUGGGGUGUGGGUAGCAGGAUGUGUGCGCAAGUGACAGGCUGAAUGCGGGUGAUGGGGUAUGAUAAGGUGUGGAUGACAGGGCGUGAUGGGAUGCGGGUGAUGGGGUGAAUGCAAAUGGCAGGAUGCGAUCGAGUACAGGUGAUGGGGUGUAUGAAGGUGAUGUGAUGGGGUGUGGGUGACAGCGUGUUUGUACAGGUGUCGGGGUGAAUGUGUGUGACGGUGUGUGCAGACCCUGGGGUGUGACGAGGUGCGGGUGACGGGGUGAAUGUGGGUGACGGGAAGUGUGAGACUGAUGGGGAUGUGAUGAGGUGCAGCUGAUGGGGUGUGUGAAGGUAACAGGAUGUGAUGAGGUGCGAGUAACAGGAUGUGUGUACAGGUGCCGGGGAGAAUGUGGGUGACAGGGUGUGUGCAGGUGAUGGGAUGAAUGCAGGUGACAGGGUGUGUGAGGAUGAUGCGGUGUGAUAGGGUAUAUGAGGGGGAUGGGAUGGGGUGACAGGGUGUGUGAGGGUGAUGGGGUGUGAUGAGGAUGAUGGGAAGUGAUGGGGGUGACAGGGUGUGUGAAGGUGACGGGAUGUAUGUGCCGAUGACGGAGUGUGUGAGGGUGACGGGAUGUGAUGUGAUGGGGUGACAGGGUGUGUGAGGAUGAUGGGGUGUGAUGAGGUGCGGGUGAUGGGGUGGAUGAGGGGGAUGGGAUGGGGUGACAGGGUGUGUGAGGGUGAUGGGCUGACAAGGUGUGUGAGGAUGAUGGGGUGUGAUGAGGUGCGGGUGACGGGGUGGAUGAGGGUGAUGGGAUGUGAUGGGGUGACAGGGUGUGUGAAGGUGACGGGCUGUGUGUGCAGGUGACGGGCUGUGUGAGGGUGAUGGGAUGUGAUGUGAUGGGGUGACUUGGUGUGAGGGGGAUGGGAUGGGAUGGGGUGACUUGGUGUGAGGGUGAUGGGAUGGGAUGGGGUGACAGGGUGUGUGAGGUGAUGGGGUGUGAUGAGGUGCGGGUGACGG